rnacentral:rRNA from 1 species
AUUGAACGCUGGCGGCAUGCUUUACACAUGCAAGUCGAACGGUAACAGGUUAAGCUGACGAGUGGCGAACGGGUGAGUAAUGCAUCGGAACGUGCCCGAUCGUGGGGGAUAACGCAGCGAAAGCUGCGCUAAUACCGCAUACGAUCUGAGGAUGAAAGCGGGGGACCGUAAGGCCUCGCGCGAUCGGAGCGGCCGAUGUCAGAUUAGGUAGUUGGUGGGGUAAAGGCUCACCAAGCCAACGAUCUGUAGCUGGUCUGAGAGGACGACCAGCCACACUGGGACUGAGACACGGCCCAGACUCCUACGGGAGGCAGCAGUGGGGAAUUUUGGACAAUGGGCGCAAGCCUGAUCCAGCAAUGCCGCGUGCAGGAAGAAGGCCUUCGGGUUGUAAACUGCUUUUGUACGGAACGAAACGGUGAUCUCUAAUACAGAUUGCUAAUGACGGUA